rnacentral:rRNA from 1 species
CAAGAUGAGACUUCCCAUCAUUUUAAAUGAGUAAGAUCCCUCAGAGACGAUGAGGUUAAUAGGUUUGAGGUGGAAGCGUGGCGACACGUGGAGCUGACAAAUACUAAUCGAUCGAGGACUUAACUAAUUU